rnacentral:lncRNA from 1 species
UUUAAAUAAAAAUUAUAGAGUUUAAAAUUUAUUUUAACUUUAAAUUUAUAAUUAAAUUAAGUUUAAUUUAUAAAUAUUGAUGUAUAUCACCCGUAAAGAUGUUUGUAGACUGGGUUGGGUCUAGAUAGUUGAUAUACUGUAUCCGUACCCUAAAAAGAAAUGGUUACAAAAAAAAAAAAAAAUCCUACCCAUUUAACUUCGGGUCGGAUUCGGAUCUGCGUACGUAAGUUGCUAAUAUAUCCAUCGAGUUUAUUUGAGUGGGUCUGGAUAGUGAUUACUCGUGUACUAUCCGUUCAUGACCGGGUAUGGGUAUCCCUGUAUAUAUAUAUAUAGAGUAGGUCUUGUUUGCUAUUAGGAGCACGGAGGCCUCCGUGCUCCUAAGCCAUUUUUAAUCAUGAAGCUUCCGAAUCGACGAUCGGCUCCGUUAGACUUGAUCUAGCGCAUUUGAAGUAUCUAAAAAAUAAAUUUUGUCAUUUUUCGAUAUCAUUUACCUAGUGAUCGAAAGGGUUUAAAAUCAACGGCUGAAAAUAAAAAUCUCAAAAAAAGUGGUGAUAUAGUACUAAAAUUUUCGAUCAGAGAUAUUGAUCUCGCUAUAAAUAGUAUAAAAAAUUUUCUAUCAGAAUUUUAUUUGAUUUGAAUACUUCUACACCGUUAAACUUACAAAU